GGGUUGUGAGGUUAAGCGACUAAGCGUACACGGUGGAUGCCCUGGCAGUCAGAGGCGAUGAAGGACGUGCUAAUCUGCGAUAAGCGUCGGUAAGGUGAUAUGAACCGUUAUAACCGGCGAUUUCCGAAUGGGGAAACCCAGUGUGUUUCGACACACUAUCAUUAACUGAAUCCAUAGGUUAAUGAGGCGAACCGGGGGAACUGAAACAUCUAAGUACCCCGAGGAAAAGAAAUCAACCGAGAUUCCCCCAGUAGCGGCGAGCGAACGGGGAGCAGCCCAGAGCCUGAAUCAGUAUGUGUGUUAGUGGAAGCGUCUGGAAAGGCGCGCGAUACAGGGUGACAGCCCCGUACACAAAAAUGCACAUAUUGUGAGCUCGAUGAGUAGGGCGGGACACGUGGUAUCCUGUCUGAAUAUGGGGGGACCAUCCUCCAAGGCUAAAUACUCCUGACUGACCGAUAGUGAACCAGUACCGUGAGGGAAAGGCGAAAAGAACCCCGGCGAGGGGAGUGAAAAAGAACCUGAAACCGUGUACGUACAAGCAGUGGGAGCACGCUUAGGCGUGUGACUGCGUACCUUUUGUAUAAUGGGUCAGCGACUUAUAUUCUGUAGCAAGGUUAACCGAAUAGGGGAGCCGAAGGGAAACCGAGUCUUAACUGGGCGUUAAGUUGCAGGGUAUAGACCCGAAACCCGGUGAUCUAGCCAUGGGCAGGUUGAAGGUUGGGUAACACUAACUGGAGGACCGAACCGACUAAUGUUGAAAAAUUAGCGGAUGACUUGUGGCUGGGGGUGAAAGGCCAAUCAAACCGGGAGAUAGCUGGUUCUCCCCGAAAGCUAUUUAGGUAGCGCCUCGUGAAUUCAUCUCCGGGGGUAGAGCACUGUUUCGGCAAGGGGGUCAUCCCGACUUACCAACCCGAUGCAAACUGCGAAUACCGGAGAAUGUUAUCACGGGAGACACACGGCGGGUGCUAACGUCCGUCGUGAAGAGGGAAACAACCCAGACCGCCAGCUAAGGUCCCAAAGUCAUGGUUAAGUGGGAAACGAUGUGGGAAGGCCCAGACAGCCAGGAUGUUGGCUUAGAAGCAGCCAUCAUUUAAAGAAAGCGUAAUAGCUCACUGGUCGAGUCGGCCUGCGCGGAAGAUGUAACGGGGCUAAACCAUGCACCGAAGCUGCGGCAGCGACACUAUGUGUUGUUGGGUAGGGGAGCGUUCUGUAAGCCUGUGAAGGUGUGCUGUGAGGCAUGCUGGAGGUAUCAGAAGUGCGAAUGCUGACAUAAGUAACGAUAAAGCGGGUGAAAAGCCCGCUCGCCGGAAGACCAAGGGUUCCUGUCCAACGUUAAUCGGGGCAGGGUGAGUCGACCCCUAAGGCGAGGCCGAAAGGCGUAGUCGAUGGGAAACAGGUUAAUAUUCCUGUACUUGGUGUUACUGCGAAGGGGGGACGGAGAAGGCUAUGUUGGCCGGGCGACGGUUGUCCCGGUUUAAGCGUGUAGGCUGGUUUUCCAGGCAAAUCCGGAAAAUCAAGGCUGAGGCGUGAUGACGAGGCACUACGGUGCUGAAGCAACAAAUGCCCUGCUUCCAGGAAAAGCCUCUAAGCAUCAGGUAACAUCAAAUCGUACCCCAAACCGACACAGGUGGUCAGGUAGAGAAUACCAAGGCGCUUGAGAGAACUCGGGUGAAGGAACUAGGCAAAAUGGUGCCGUAACUUCGGGAGAAGGCACGCUGAUAUGUAGGUGAAGUCCCUCGCGGAUGGAGCUGAAAUCAGUCGAAGAUACCAGCUGGCUGCAACUGUUUAUUAAAAACACAGCACUGUGCAAACACGAAAGUGGACGUAUACGGUGUGACGCCUGCCCGGUGCCGGAAGGUUAAUUGAUGGGGUUAGCCGCAAGGCGAAGCUCUUGAUCGAAGCCCCGGUAAACGGCGGCCGUAACUAUAACGGUCCUAAGGUAGCGAAAUUCCUUGUCGGGUAAGUUCCGACCUGCACGAAUGGCGUAAUGAUGGCCAGGCUGUCUCCACCCGAGACUCAGUGAAAUUGAACUCGCUGUGAAGAUGCAGUGUACCCGCGGCAAGACGGAAAGACCCGUGAACCUUUACUAUAGCUUGACACUGAACAUUGAGCCUUGAUGUGUAGGAUAGGUGGGAGGCUUUGAAGUGUGGACGCCAGUCUGCAUGGAGCCGACCUUGAAAUACCACCCUUUAAUGUUUGAUGUUCUAACGUUGACCCGUAAUCCGGGUUGCGGACAGUGUCUGGUGGGUAGUUUGACUGGGGCGGUCUCCUCCUAAAGAGUAACGGAGGAGCACGAAGGUUGGCUAAUCCUGGUCGGACAUCAGGAGGUUAGUGCAAUGGCAUAAGCCAGCUUGACUGCGAGCGUGACGGCGCGAGCAGGUGCGAAAGCAGGUCAUAGUGAUCCGGUGGUUCUGAAUGGAAGGGCCAUCGCUCAACGGAUAAAAGGUACUCCGGGGAUAACAGGCUGAUACCGCCCAAGAGUUCAUAUCGACGGCGGUGUUUGGCACCUCGAUGUCGGCUCAUCACAUCCUGGGGCUGAAGUAGGUCCCAAGGGUAUGGCUGUUCGCCAUUUAAAGUGGUACGCGAGCUGGGUUUAGAACGUCGUGAGACAGUUCGGUCCCUAUCUGCCGUGGGCGCUGGAGAACUGAGGGGGGCUGCUCCUAGUACGAGAGGACCGGAGUGGACGCAUCACUGGUGUUCGGGUUGUCAUGCCAAUGGCACUGCCCGGUAGCUAAAUGCGGAAGAGAUAAGUGCUGAAAGCAUCUAAGCACGAAACUUGCCCCGAGAUGAGUUCUCCCUGACUCCUUGAGAGUCCUGAAGGAACGUUGAAGACGACGACGUUGAUAGGCCGGGUGUGUAAGCGCAGCGAUGCGUUGAGCUAACCGGUACUAAUGAACCGUGAGGCUUAACCUUACAACGCCGAAGCUGUU
rnacentral:rRNA from 1 species